GACAUUCAGACUACCUG
rnacentral:miRNA from 1 species